UACAGAGGGUGCGAGCGUUAAUCGGAAUUACUGGGCGUAAAGGGCGCGUAGGCGGUUAGAUGUGUGUGUUGUGAAAGCCCCGGGCUUAACCUGGGAAGUGCAAUGCAAACUAUCUAACUAGAGUAUAUGAGAGGGUGGCGGAAUUUCCGGUGUAGCGGUGAAAUGCGUAGAGAUCGGAAGGAACGUCAAUGGCGAAGGCAGCCACCUGGCAUAAUACUGACGCUGAGGCGCGAAAGCGUGGGGAGCGAACAGG
rnacentral:rRNA from 1 species